AUGGGAGUCCCGGGGGUGCUCCAGGGCCUCCCCCAGGCCCAGCUCCCUUCCUGCCCACGUCCCAGGUCGGCCUCCGGGGUGUCUCAGCUGCAGCCCAGCGCAGACAUGGCCCUCAGAGGGCUCCAGGGGACGAGGUCCCGACCCUGGGGGGGGGGGUCAGCCUCCAGAGAGGUGUUCCUGCAAAUGCCACCCCCCCUGAGAUGGAUGAGGGGUGUCCAGGGGACUCACGGCAGAAAGCCCUGGUGGUCGGUGCCUUCCACAGUGACAGGUCCUGCGGAGACCCUGCUUGGUGCACCGUGGUGGGGACCGAUCAGAGCAGGGAAAUGGGGACAGGAGGGAGCAGAAGGGGUCCUCCCUCCCCUGAAUCCUGAGGGCGCGCCGACCCUCUGAGAUUGGCCGGGCACCAGAGAAAGGGCCUGUAUGCCCGGUGGGUGCAGCCUGACAGCCUCACCUGCUUCUAUCUAUCAGUGACGAUCCCCACCUGGGCCUCACCUGACCUGGUGACUGUGGUCCCCACCUGGGACUCACCUGGACCCGGUGACUGUGGUCCCCCACUGGGCUUCACCCGGACCUGGUGACUCUGAUCCCUACCUGGGCCUCACCCAGACCUGGUGACUGUGGUCCCCACCUGGGCCUCACCCAGACCUGGUGACUGUGGUCCCCACCUGGGCCUCACCCAGACCUGGUGACUGUGGUCCCCACCAGGGCCUCACCCAGACCUGGUGACUGUGGUCCCCACCUGGGCCUCAGCUGGACCUGGUGUCUCUGAUCCCUACCUGGGUCUCACCUGACCUGGUGACUCUGAUCCCUACCUGGCCCUCACCUGGAACUGGUGACGCUGGUCCCCACCUGGGCCUCACCCGGACCUGGUGACUGUGGUCCCCACCUGGGCCUCACCCAGACCUGGUGACUCUGGUCCCCAACAGGGCCUCACCUGGGCCUCAUGUGGAUCUGCAACUGUGGUCCCCACCUUGGCCUCACCUGAACCUGGUGACUCUGGUCCCCACCUUGGCCUCACCGGGACCUGGUGACUGUGGUUCCUACCUGAGCCUCACCUGACCUGGUGACUGUGGUCCCCACCUGGGCCUCACUUGACCUGGUGACUCUGAUCCCUACCUGGCCCUCACCCAGACCUGGUGAUUCUGGUCCCCAAUUGGGCCUCACCCAGACCUGGUGACUCUAGUCCCCAACUGGGCUUCACCUAGGUGACUCUGGUCUCCACCUGAGCCUCAUGUGGAUCUGUGACUAUGGUCCCCACCUUGGCCUCACCUGAACCUGGUGACUCUGGUCCCCACCUGGGCUCACCUGGACCUGGUAGCUGUGGUCUUCAUCUGGACCUGGUGACUCUGGUCCCCACCUGGGCCUCACCUGUACCUGGUGACUGGGCUCC
rnacentral:lncRNA from 12 species